CAUAAGUAACGAUAAAGCGGGUGAAAAGCCCGCUCGCCGGAAGACCAAGGGUUCCUGUCCAACGUUAAUCGGGGCAGGGUGAGUCGACCCCUAAGGCGAGGCCGAAAGGCGUAGUCGAUGGGAAACGGGUUAAUAUUCCCGUACUUGGUGUUACUGCGAAGGGGGGACGGAGAAGGCUAUGUUGGCCGGGCGACGGUUGUCCCGGUUUAAGCGUGUAGGUGUGUGUUCCAGGUAAAUCCGGUUCACUUUAACACUGAGGCGUGAUGACGAGGCACUACGGUGCUGAAGCAACAAAUGCCCUGCUUCCAGGAAAAGCCUCUAAGCAUCAGGUAACAUCAAAUCGUACCCCAAACCGACACAGGUGGUCAGGUAGAGAAUACCAAGGCGCUUGAGAGAACUCGGGUGAAGGAACUAGGCAAAAUGGUGCCGUAACUUCGGGAGAAGGCACGCUGACACGUAGGUGAAGUGAUUUACUCAUGGAGCUGAAGUCAGUCGAAGAUACCAGCUGGCUGCAACUGUUUAUUAAAAACACAGCACUGUGCAAACACGAAAGUGGACGUAUACGGUGUGACGCCUGCCCGGUGCCGGAAGGUUAAUUGAUGGGGUCAGCGCAAGCGAAGCUCCUGAUCGAAGCCCCGGUAAACGGCGGCCGUAACUAUAACGGUCCUAAGGUAGCGAAAUUCCUUGUCGGGUAAGUUCCGACCUGCACGAAUGGCGUAAUGAUGGCCAGGCUGUCUCCACCCGAGACUCAGUGAAAUUGAACUCGCUGUGAAGAUGCAGUGUACCCGCGGCAAGACGGAAAGACCCCGUGAACCUUUACUAUAGCUUGACACUGAACAUUGAGCCUUGAUGUGUAGGAUAGGUGGGAGGCUUUGAAGUGUGGACGCCAGUCUGCAUGGAGCCGGCCUUGAAAUACCACCCUUUAAUGUUUGAUGUUCUAACGUGGACCCGUGAUCCGGGUUGCGGACAGUGUCUGGUGGGUAGUUUGACUGGGGCGGUCUCCUCCUAAAGAGUAACGGAGGAGCACGAAGGUUGGCUAAUCCUGGUCGGACAUCAGGAGGUUAGUGCAAUGGCAUAAGCCAGCUUGACUGCGAGCGUGACGGCGCGAGCAGGUGCGAAAGCAGGUCAUAGUGAUCCGGUGGUUCUGAAUGGAAGGGCCAUCGCUCAACGGAUAAAAGGUACUCCGGGGAUAACAGGCUGAUACCGCCCAAGAGUUCAUAUCGACGGCGGUGUUUGGCACCUCGAUGUCGGCUCAUCACAUCCUGGGGCUGAAGUAGGUCCCAAGGGUAUGGCUGUUCGCCAUUUAAAGUGGUACGCGAGCUGGGUUUAGAACGUCGUGAGACAGUUCGGUCCCUAUCUGCCGUGGGCGCUGGAGAACUGAGGGGGGCUGCUCCUAGUACGAGAGGACCGGAGUGGACGCAUCACUGGUGUUCGGGUUGUCAUGCCAAUGGCACUGCCCGGUAGCUAAAUGCGGAAGAGAUAAGUGCUGAAAGCAUCUAAGCACGAAACUUGCCCCGAGAUGAGUUCUCCCUGAGACUUAGAGUCUCCUGAAGGAACGUUGAAGACGACGACGUUGAUAGGCCGGGUGUGUAAGCGCAGCGAUGCGUUGAGCUAACCGGUACUAAUGAACCGUGAGGCUUAACCUUACA
rnacentral:rRNA from 1 species